rnacentral:rRNA from 1 species
UGGUGGAGCGAUUUGUCUGGUUAAUUCCGAUAACGAACGAGACUCUGGCCUAUUAAAUAGUCCGCCGAUUCCGAUCUGUCGGCGUUAACUUCUUAGAGGGACAAGUGGCUUUUAGCCACGCGAGACUGAGCAAUAACA